rnacentral:rRNA from 1 species
GACGAACGCUGGCGGCGUGCUUAACACAUGCAAGUCGAACGGAAAGGCCCUGCUUUUGUGGGGUGCUCGAGUGGCGAACGGGUGAGUAACACGUGAGUAACCUGCCCUUGACUUUGGGAUAACUUCAGGAAACUGGGGCUAAUACCGGAUAGGAGCUCCUGCUGCAUGGUGGGGGUUGGAAAGUUUCGGCGGUUGGGGAUGGACUCGCGGCUUAUCAGCUUGUUGGUGUGGUAGUGGCUUACCAAGGCUUUGACGGGUAGCCGGCCUGAGAGGGUGACCGGGCACAUGGGGACUGAGGUACGGCCCAGACUCCAACGGGAGGCAGCAGUGGGGAGUAUUGCACAAUGGGCGGAAGCCUGAGGCAGCAACGCCGCGUGCGGGAUGACGGCCUUCGGGUUGUAAACCGCUUUCGCCGGAGACGAAGCGUGAGUGACGGUACUGGGUAAAGAAGCACCGGCUAACUACGUG